CUCCUUGCAUCUCUCUCUCGCUCUUCUCUGUGCAGUCGCUCUGUCUCGGAGGGUUUUGGUUCUGCACGCCUUCCUCUCUGCGCAGCAGGCUCGCUUCGCUAUUCCCUUUCGCCAACCAGGUUCCAUAAUGUCUUGGAGUACAAUUGAGUCUGACCCUGGUAGUCCACAUUGUGGUGACAAUUGGACGGAAAUUAAGAGAACUUGGGAAACUGAAAAAAAUAAGCAAAUGAGUGAACAGAAUAAGAAGAUUCGAGCUUCUAAUUCUAGUGAAGGGUCUGCCACAUAUGCUAGGGGCUCUAUCAACAU